UAAUCAAAAUCUCUCAAAUCACUAUUCUCACCACAAUGUACUUGUUUAAAAGUACAGCUGGACGUCUACUCCUGUGGAAGACUAGUGGUGUAGAAUGUAAACACUUUGGGUUUGUUUAGAAGUGGAAUAAAUUUUUUGAGUUUUGACCCAAAAUUACGCUGAAAUUAAUAUCGCACAAUUAUGAAUAUUAUACUAUUCCUCACACGGGGCACCAUCGUGCCUCACACGGGGCACCAUACUGUUGGGGAGGCAGAUAGGAGCUGGUCUAGUUAUUAAAAAACUUUAAAGAUAAUUAUCAAUAUUUAUAAAAUUAAUAUUAAUAAAUCAUCAAUAUUGAGUUUGACUUCACUAAUUGUACCUAAAGAGUCUCCUGAAUGCAUGUAAUGCAGUGAACUGGCUGUCUUUAAUCUGUUUCUUAUUUCCUUGUGCUAAAUGUGGGGCAGUGGACGCCUACAGAUCACAGGAAGUGUGGGUCUGAUGGUGUUGUGUUGUUUUCCACAGGUGCGUUAUGAUGAAGAUGAUGAUACAGUGAACUAUGAAAACAUCACAUGAUCCUGAUGGAGUUUGACCGACUCAUCGACUCCUCGUGUUUUACACUUCAAGAUUUGGAAUAACAAGACAGAACUUUGAGAGACUUAAAGGGGACAUAUCCUGCUCACUUCCAGGUUCAUGCUUGUAUUCUGGGUUUCUGCUACACUAGAACAUGUUUACAUGCUUUAAUAAUCUAAAAACACAUUAUUACUCUCCUCCUGUCUGUGUGAAUAUACCUGUAUUCACCCUCUAUCUGAAACGCUCCGGUUUAGCUCCUGUCUCUUUAAGAAGCCCAGUCUGCUCUGAUUGGCUAGAGAGAUAAAUAUGGUUCACCUUUACGAAGGUAGUCCUCCAGCUGUGGGCGGUAUAUUCUAAUGAGCCUGUAUGUGACAUAGGAAGGGGAGCCACAUCUGAUUGGCUCGUUGAAUCACAUGUUUUCUGAUCUAGACAGCCCACUAAAAACUGACUGGUCGUCUUAUUUCACAGUUUGUGGGUUGGUAGACACUCCAGAUACCCAGAUGAGCACAAGCACUGAGAGAGUGAGCUUUAAUGAUAUGUCCCCUUUAAAGCUGUUUCUCACCAGCUGGAUGUGAAGAAGCGAUGCAGGAAUGACGACGAUGCACGCCGGGUCAAAUUAUCCGAGGUGCCGUGUUUAAUUUACCGUCUCACAAACCGUUAACGUUAGCUUCACAAUACAUCAACUAAUCAGACCCCAGAUGUGAUGCUAACGCUAGCUGUUGUGGCUAGCCCCGUUCUGUGACCAACAUAUAACGUUAGCGAGUUCAUAUCAGCUCCAUCAGCAUCUCCAUGGUAACCCAGCUGCUGGGCCACCUCAGGCCACAUUUUGUCUCUUAUUUGGUUGUUGAGGUCGUCGUCGCCAUGUUUCUACAGGACAGUGUUGGGUGUUGAGAAACCAAAAGGUAGCAGCAAGCUACCUGGAGCUAUACCUGGAGGUAUGACAUCACUUGGAACAAAGGAUUUCAUUGGUCAAACAGAUAUUCCUGCAGGUGGAAAUCAGCUGAAAUUGAGGUCCGUCUGAAUAUUUUUUCCCCGUCACGAAUGUUCCACAACCCAUAAAAUCAGUUUUUAUAAAUAUCCGAGUGAAUUAUUCAGAGAAAAAUCUGUUCUUGGUGUGAAACAGCUUUUAUUAUUUUAUUUGAGUUUGAUGUCUUUUCCUUCAUCAGUUGUAAAACUGUUUCUCAUGUGCAGCCAGUUCAGAAGCCAGCAGCUGGAUCUGAACUUCAUUUAACAGUGAAGAGCAUUUCACUCUUGUUAACGUCCUUAAAUUGUUUUCCAGCUGAAGAUUUCACAGCUGAUUUGAAGAUUUGCUGUUUGUUUGUGAAGCUACAGCAGCUUGAGCUCAGUUUCAUGUCUCUGUGUGCACUAGACUCAUUUUAAUGCUCUUUCAUGAAGCGUUGCUGUUAACAUACUGUAUGUGUUUGAAUGGGUUUUCAGCCUUAAAGGGGAGUCAGUAACAGUCUUCUCUUUAUUCUAUCUGAGAACAACAUCAUCUGCAUAUAAAGACAUGUUGAAUUCUA